UAUCUCUGUAGAGUCUGCAUAUCAAUAAGCGGAGGAAAAGAAACUAACAAGGAUUCCCUUAGUAACGGCGAGUGAAGCGGGAAGAGCUCAAAUUUGAAAUCUUCAAGGUUCUACCUUGACGAAUUGUAGUUUAUAGAAGUGUUUUCUGUUAGUGGAGUGGCAAAAGUUCUUGGAAUAGGACAUCAUAGAGGGUGAGAAUCCCGUAUUUGGUCAUUCCUCCUAGCUUUGUGAUACACUUUCAACGAGUCGGAUUGUUUGGGAAUGCAGUCCAAAAUGGGUGGUAAAUUUCAUCUAAAGCUAAAUAUUGGCGAGAGACCGAUAGCGAACAAGUACCGUGAGGGAAAGAUGAAAAGAACUUUGAAAAGAGAGUUAAACAGUACGUGAAAUUGUCAAAAGGGAAGCGUUUGACACCAGUGUUGUUUUUCCGAAAAUCAAUUACUAAUGUUUUGUUUUGAGGAGUGAUGACUUCAUCGGCUUCCUUCUUCUUUACGAAACUUUCUGUAAUGCACUUUUCGGUUAACAAGUCAACAUCAAUUUCUUUUGUUGUAAAAGGGUAUCGAGAAGGUGGCUUUCUUUUCGGAGAAAGUGUUUAUAGCCUUCCUCUACAAUCGGAGAGAUUGAGGUCUGCAGCGUAGAUCCUUCGGGGUUAGAUACAUUUGUGCUAAGUUAUAGCUUUUCAUAGACAACUUGUUGACUAUGUUUAGUCUUGUAGCUUACUCGCUUAUGCUAUUUUACCUACGCUUAGGAUGUUGACGCAUGAGAUAUACGC
rnacentral:rRNA from 1 species